UUAUGCCCAGGUCUGGAUCGGUGUCCAGUAUGAGUUGCCUCCUUUGAGGCAGACAGAGCUGAGACAGAACAGGAAAUCUGCCUUAUUAUGGUGCUGGGCUAAUCCUCCUGCCAUGGUAUGAACCACCUCCCCAUGGCAUUGGGCUAUGAUUUCAUUAGACAGGGAGCAGCUUUACCUUCUAGAAGGGCCCAGAGGAGACAUCCUUCCAGCCUCAGAAACAUCCCUGACGUUUCUAAAGGGGCGAAGGACAUCUCCUGAAAUCAGAGAGAGAGGAGGGUUAACACUGCAAGGCCUGAGUCUCUCCUAUCAUUGCAUGCACAUGUACAAACACACGCAUGUCGCCCAGACACUGCAUUUGGGAACAACGUGAAAGAAACCUGAAAGCUC